UACGUAGGGUGCGAGCGUUGUCCGGAAUUAUUGGGCGUAAAGGGCUCGUAGGCGGUUUGUCGCGUCGGGGAGUGAAAACCAGGUGCUUAACACCUGGCUUGCUUUCGAUACGGGCAGACUAGAGGUAUUCAGGGGAGAACGGAAUUCCUGGUGUAGCGGUGAAAUGCGCAGAUAUCAGGAGGAACACCGGUGGCGAAGGCGGCCUGCUGGGCAGUUGCUGACACUGAGGCGCGACAGCGUGGGGAGCAAACAGGAUUAGAAACC
rnacentral:rRNA from 1 species